GAUGGUAUAGCUCAGUGGAAGAGUGCCUGCCUCGCAUGCACGAGGUCCUGGGUUCGAUCCCUGGAACCACUG
rnacentral:tRNA from 1 species